CUGGCCCUUAAUCAAGGCCGGCAGAUUCCUGACACUAUUGGUUUCAAGCAGAAGCCUAAAGAGAUGUCUUUCUAUGGUCUGUUGGCCAUCUCAGAACUUGGGCAGUGAAAUGGUCAAUUCAUUAGAAACCGCUUGAAGCAACC
rnacentral:snoRNA from 1 species